rnacentral:rRNA from 1 species
GACGAACCGUGCGAACGUUGUUCGGAAUCACUGGGCUUAAAGGGCGCGUAGGCGGCUCCGAAAGUCCGGGGUGAAAGCCCCCAGCUUAACUGGGGAAGUGCCUCGGAUACUGCGGAGCUCGAGGGAGGUAGGGGCGGAUGGAACUUCCGGUGGAGCGGUGAAAUGCGUUGAUAUCGGAAGGAACGCCGGUGGCGAAAGCGAUCCGCUGGCCCUCUACUGACGCUGAGGCGCGAAAGCCAGGGGAGCAAACGGGGAU